rnacentral:rRNA from 1 species
UAAGGCGGAGGAAAAGGAACCCACCCGGGGAUUGCCCUUAGUAACGGCGAAUGAAACCGCCACCAGUUCAAAUUUGAAAUUCGGCUUCUUUCAGAUUCCGAGUUGUAAUUUGCAGAGGGCGCUUUGGCGUUAGCAGCGGUCCAAGUUCCUUGGAACAGGACGUCACAGAGGGUGAGAAUCCCGUACGUGGUCGCUAGUUUUUCGCCGUGUAAAGCCCCUUCGACGAGUCGAGUUGUUUGGGAAUGCAGCUCUAAAUGGGAGGUAAAUUUCUUCUAAAGCUAAAUACUGGCCAGAGACCGAUAGCGCACAAGUAGAGUGAUCGAAAGAUGAAAAGCACUUUGGAAAGAGAGUCAAACAGCACGUGAAAUUGUUGAAAGGGAAGCGCUUGCAGCCAGACUUGCCUGUAGUUGCUCAUCCGGGCUUUUGCCCGGUGCACUCUUCUAUAGGCAGGCCAGCAUCAGUUUGGGCGGUUGGAUAAAGGUCUCUGUCAUGUACCUCCUUUCGGGGAGGCCUUAUAGGGGAGACGACAUGCAACCAGCCUGGACUGAGGUCCGCGCAUCUGCUAGGAUGCUGGCGUAAUGGCUGUAAGCGGCCCGUCUUGAAACACGGACCAAGGAGUCUAACAUCUAUGCGAGUGUUUGGGUGUCAAGCCCAAGCGCGUAAUGAAAGUGAACGGAGGUGGGAUCCCUUAAGGGUGCACCAUCGACCGAUCCUGAUGUCUUCGGAUGGAUUUGAGUAAGAGCAUGGCUGUUGGGACCCGAAAGAUGGUGAACUAUGCUUGAAUAGGGUGAAGCCAGAGGAAACUCUGGUGGAGGCUCGCAGCGGUUCUGACGUGCAAAUCGAUCGUCAAAUUGGGCAUAGGGGCGAAAGACUAAUUCGAA